GAAGAAUAAUUGCUCGAUCGACGAAGAUGUCAACGGAAAAAUAGGUUAUGGAACGUAUAACAAAUUAUCGCCAGGAUCCAGUGCCGCCUCUCGAUAGGCGGAAUCGGCAGACGGGCGACCAAGUGCCGAAAAAGUGGAUCAGCCACAUAUUACCCGCUCGUAUAUUAUGUUUAAUGGCGAGCCCUUCUCCUACGUUCUGACCAAUUUUACGCGAUACUCGAUACUCGUAAUCGCCGCGGUUAUACGUGCGGACCUAUCGUGCGGAGAAAUUGCAUCGAAGGACAGGAGCCUGAGGGGCUGCGUGUCGUGGCGUCAAACGUUCGAUAAUUUUAUGAAAAUGUUUG